rnacentral:rRNA from 1 species
CGCGAAGCGGCGAGCGAACCUGGAUUAGCCCUUAAGCACUCGGUGAAGUAGGUGAACAAGCUGGAAAGCUUGGCGAUACAGGGUGAUAGCCCCGUAACCGACGCUUCAUCGAGCGUGAAAUCGAGUAGGGCGGGACACGUGAUAUCCUGUCUGAAUAUGGGGGGACCAUCCUCCAAGGCUAAAUACUCCUGACUGACCGAUAGUGAACCAGUACCGUGAGGGAAAGGCGAAAAGAACCCCUGUGAGGGGAGUGAAAUAGAACCUGAAACCGUGUACGUACAAGCAGUAGGAGCACCUUCGUGGUGUGACUGCGUACCUUUUGUAUAAUGGGUCAGCGACUUAUAUUCAGUGGCAAGGUUAACCGUAUAGGGGAGCCGUAGCGAAAGCGAGUCUUAACUGGGCGCUCAGUCUCUGGAUAUAGACCCGAAACCGGGUGAUCUAGCCAUGGGCAGGUUGAAGGUUGAGUAACAUCAACUGGAGGACCGAACCGACUAAUGUUGAAAAAUUAGCGGAUGACUUGUGGCUAGGGGUGAAAGGCCAAUCAAACUCGGAGAUAGCUGGUUCUCCCCGAAAGCUAUUUAGGUAGCGCCUCGGACGAAUACUACUGGGGGUAGAGCACUGUUAAGGCUAGGGGGUCAUCCCGACUUACCAACCCUUUGCAAACUCCGAAUACCAGUAAGUACUAUCCGGGAGACACACGGCGGGUGCUAACGUCCGUCGUGGAGAGGGAAACAACCCAGACCGCCAGCUAAGGUCCCAAAGUAUUGCUAAGUGGGAAACGAUGUGGGAAGGCUCAGACAGCUAGGAUGUUGGCUUAGAAGCAGCCAUCAUUUAAAGAAAGCGUAAUAGCUCACUAGUCGAGUCGGCCUGCGCGGAAGAUGUAACGGGGCUAAGCAAUACACCGAAGCUGCGGCAAUGUCUUUUAGACAUUGGGUAGGGGAGCGUUCUGUAAGCCGUUGAAGGUGAAUCGUAAGGUUUGCUGGAGGUAUCAGAAGUGCGAAUGCUGACAUGAGUAACGACAAAGGGGGUGAAAAACCUCCUCGCCGGAAGACCAAGGGUUCCUGUCCAACGUUAAUCGGGGCAGGGUGAGUCGACCCCUAAGGUGAGGCCGAAAGGCGUAAUCGAUGGGAAACGGGUUAAUAUUCCCGUACUUCUGACUAUUGCGAUGGGGGGACGGAGAAGGCUAGGUGGGCCAGGCGACGGUUGUCCUGGUUCAAGUGCGUAGGCUUGAGAGUUAGGUAAAUCCGGCUCUCUCUAAGGCUGAGACACGACGUCGAGCUACUACGGUAGUGAAGUCAUUGAUGCCAUGCUUCCAGGAAAAGCCUCUAAGCUUCAGAUAGUCAGGAAUCGUACCCCAAACCGACACAGGUGGUCGGGUAGAGAAUACCAAGGCGCUUGAGAGAACUCGGGUGAAGGAACUAGGCAAAAUGGUACCGUAACUUCGGGAGAAGGUACGCUCUUGAUGGUGAAGUCCCUCGCGGAUGGAGCUGACGAGAGUCGCAGAUACCAGGUGGCUGCAACUGUUUAUUAAAAACACAGCACUGUGCAAAAUCGCAAGAUGACGUAUACGGUGUGACGCCUGCCCGGUGCCGGAAGGUUAAUUGAUGGGGUUAGCGCAAGCGAAGCUCUUGAUCGAAGCCCCGGUAAACGGCGGCCGUAACUAUAACGGUCCUAAGGUAGCGAAAUUCCUUGUCGGGUAAGUUCCGACCUGCACGAAUGGCGUAAUGAUGGCCACGCUGUCUCCACCCGAGACUCAGUGAAAUUGAAAUCGCUGUGAAGAUGCAGUGUACCCGCGGCUAGACGGAAAGACCCCGUGAACCUUUACUACAGCUUGGCACUGAACAUUGAACCUACAUGUGUAGGAUAGGUGGGAGGCUAUGAAGACGUGACGCCAGUUGCGUUGGAGCCGUCCUUGAAAUACCACCCUUGUAUGUUUGAUGUUCUAACUUAGACCCAUUAUCUGGGUUGAGGACAGUGCCUGGUGGGUAGUUUGACUGGGGCGGUCUCCUCCCAAAGAGUAACGGAGGAGCACGAAGGUGGGCUAAUCACGGUUGGACAUCGUGAGGUUAGUGCAAUGGCAUAAGCCCGCUUAACUGCGAGAAUGACGGUUCGAGCAGGUGCGAAAGCAGGUCAUAGUGAUCCGGUGGUUCUGUAUGGAAGGGCCAUCGCUCAACGGAUAAAAGGUACUCCGGGGAUAACAGGCUGAUACCGCCCAAGAGUUCAUAUCGACGGCGGUGUUUGGCACCUCGAUGUCGGCUCAUCACAUCCUGGGGCUGAAGUCGGUCCCAAGGGUAUGGCUGUUCGCCAUUUAAAGUGGUACGCGAGCUGGGUUUAGAACGUCGUGAGACAGUUCGGUCCCUAUCUGCCGUGGGCGUUGGAAGAUUGAAGGGGGCUGCUCCUAGUACGAGAGGACCGGAGUGGACGAACCUCUGGUGUUCGGGUUGUGUCGCCAGACGCAUUGCCCGGUAGCUAAGUUCGGAAUUGAUAAGCGCUGAAAGCAUCUAAGCGCGAAGCGAGCCCUGAGAUGAGUCUUCCCUGAUACUUUAAGUAUCCUAAAGGGUUGUUCGAGACUAGAACGUUGAUAGGCAGGGUGUGUAAGCGUUGUGAGGCGUUGAGCUAACCUGUACUAAUUGCCCGUGAGGCUUAACCA